CCUACGGGAGGCAGCAGUAGGGAAUCUUCCGCAAUGGGCGAAAGCCUGACGGAGCAACGCCGCGUGAGUGAUGAAGGUCUUCGGAUCGUAAAACUCUGUUAUCAGGGAAGAACAAAUGUGUAAGUAACUGUGCACAUCUUGACGGUACCUGAUCAGAAAGCCACGGCUAACUACGUGCCAGCAGCCGCGGUAAU
rnacentral:rRNA from 1 species